CUUACAUUUAACUCAUUCAUCUCCUAGUAAAAAAAAUAUUUAUGUUUUUCCACUUUUCCAUAUCAUUAUAUUGAUUUUUUUCGUGCCACAUCCAUUGCAGAUAAUUAUGAAUCUGGUAGAUCUGUUUCGUCAAGGUUAUCAGGUCAUAGCAAUUGCCACAACUGAAGGAUUCAAGAAUGAAGCUAAAAACAUGCUAGUUGCAUCUGGAUGGAUAGACAACGACGUGAAGAGGAGUUGAAAGGUAGGUCUUCCAAAAAGGGGUUCUCUGUAAUCUAUAUUGAAUCG